rnacentral:sRNA from 1 species
AGUGAAAAUUUUCGUCGCAGUUUUGUUAAAGCGUUUCAGUGUGCAUCGUCCAACGACGUCAACAAAAGCUUGUGUCAUGAAAAUAGCGUUUUUCCAAAGUCAAGCCAAAAGAAAAGCACAACAAUGGAGGACAAGAAGAAAGCCGAAAAGUUCGAGAUGGCCACAAUGAUAACCACUACAGACAAUGGAAACCACCGACCAAAAAACGACAGCGCCAGCUCUUUGAACGAUGGUGAUGAUGACGGCCUGUAUGUCGAUAAAGAGAGUCAGACAUUGCAAGAAGACGUCUGAACACAAUCAUUAUCAAACGUCCUAUUGACUUGGAUUUGAUCACGUGGUCAAACGAAAUUGUGUUAUUGUCUUUGUCAUCAGUAUUGCAUGUUGUCUAUUGUUAUUCUAACUGAACAGUUCUAACUGAACAGUUCUAAAGAUCAUCACUUUUUGCACGUGUUUUUGUAAUUUUCAAAGUUAUUGUCGAUAUGGUGACUUACGUGUAUGUUUCUUGUGAAUUGUUACAAGUAUUGUAUUUGCAGUAAAACAGAUUUUCGUCCUGUGAAACUUUAUUAUGAUAAUGUACAAUGUGUUUUUUCGAUGGAGAAUAAAAUAUUGAAA